rnacentral:rRNA from 1 species
GAUGAACGCUGGCGGCGUGCCUUAGGCAUGCAAGUCGAACGGGAAGUCUUCGGACUUCUAGUGGCGGAAGGGUGAGUAACGCGUGGGAACGUACCUAUUGGUGGAGAAUAGCUCGCCGAAAGGCGGGAUAAUUCUGCAUAAGACCGCAAGGUGAAAGGGCUUAACCGCCCGCCGAUAGAGCGGCCUGCGUCCUAUCAGCUUGUUGGUGAGGUAAAGGCUUACCAAGCCGACGAUCCUUAGCUGGUCUGAGAGGAUGAUCAGCCACACUGGGACUGAGACACGGCCCAGACUCCUACGGGAGGCAGCAGUGGGGAAUAUUGGACAAUGGGCGAAAGCCUGAUCCAGCAAUGCCGCGUGAGUGAUGAAGGCCUUAGGGUUGUAAAGCCCUUUUACCCGGGAUGAUAAUGACAGUACCGGGAGAAUAAGCUCCGGCUAACUCCGUGCCAGCCGCCGCCGUAA